UUCUACGGAACUUCAGAGAUCC
rnacentral:siRNA from 1 species